GCGCCCGUGGCUCAGUUGGAUAGAGCGUUGGCCUCCGGAGCCAAAGGCCGUGGGUUCGAAUCCCGCCGGGCGCGCCA
rnacentral:tRNA from 1 species